UGCCUUAUGUUACGAAGUUUCCGUCUGUCACAUGUCCAUUGUCCUUGACCUCAUUUUCAUGGUUCAGUGACUACUUGAAAAAAAAGUUAAGAUUUUUUGUAAUGUUAAUUUCUCUCUUAUUAUGAGAAAUAUGAUAACUAUAUUUGAUAUGUGCGUACCUUGCAAGGUCCUCAUGUCCGUCAGACGGUUUUCACUUGACCUCGACCUCAUUUCAUGGAUCAGUGAACAAGGUUAUGUUUUGGUAGUCAAGUCCAUAUCUCAGAUACUACAAGCAAUAGGUCAAUUAUAUUUGGUGUAUGGAAAUAUUUUAUUAUGUACAUGUCAGUCUGGCAGGUUUUAUUUGAUCUUGACCUCAUUUUCACGGUUCAUUGCUCAGUGUUAAGUUUUUGUGUUUUGGUCUGUUUUUCUUAAACUAUAAGCAAUAGGUCAACUAUAUUUGUUGUAUGGAAGGAUUGUAAGCUGUACAUGUCUGCCUGGCAUGGUUCAUCUGACCUGGACCUCAUUUUCAUGGUUCAUUGGUCAAUGUUUAGCUUUCUUGGUUAAGUCUGUUUCUUAGAAACUAUAAGCAAUAGGUCAACUAUAUUUAGUGUAUUGAAUGAUUGUAAGGUGUACAUGUAUUUCUCGUUUGGUUUAUAUGACCUUGACCUCAUUUUUUUGGAUCAAGUUAAGUUUAUGUGAUAUUGUAGUAAAGCUUUAUAUUUAUCAACAUAAUAUCCAUGGUUAGUAAAGAAGGCGAGACAUUUCAGCGUGUGCACGCUUGUUCUUAUACUGUAUGUAAUAGGUCUACUAUAUUUGGUGUCUGGAAUGAUUGUAAGGUGUACAUGUCCAACUGGCAGGUGUCAUUUGAUCUUGAACUCAUGUUCAUGGUUCAGUGGUGAAAGUUAAGUUUUUGAGUUUGGGCUUUUUUUCUAAUACUAUAUGCAAUAGGGCAACUAUAUUUGGUGUAUGGAAAUAUUUUAUGAUGUACAUGUCAGUCUAGCAGGUUUUAUAUGACCUAGACCUCGUUUUCACGGUCCAUUGCUCAGUGUUAAGUUUAUGUGUUUUGGUCUGUUUUUCUUAAACUUUAAGCAAUAGGUCAACUAUAUUUGUUGUAUGGAAGGACUGUAAGCUGUACAUAUCUGCCUGGCUUGGUUCAUCUGACCUUGACCUCAUUGGUCAGUGUUUAGUUUUCUUGGUUAACUCUGUUUCUUAGAAACUAUAAGCAAAAGGUCAACUAUAUUUAGUGUAUUGAAUGAUUGUGAGGUGUACAUGUAUUUCUCGUUUGGUUUAUAUGACCUUGACAUCAUUUUCUUGAAUCUGUUAAGUUUAUGUCAUAGUUGUAGUAAAGUUUUCUAAUUAAGACUAUCAACAUAAUAUAAAUGGUUAGUAAAUAAGACGAGACAUUUUAGCGUGUGCAUCCUUGUUCUUGGUUUACUCUUGUGUUUUUUUUGGCAGUCGUCAGUCAAUUUUUCUUUUUUCUGUACGUUUUAAGAAGACAACUGUUAUCAGCUUUUCGUGACAUUGAAUGGUUGCCUUUCGAGAACUUGGCAGAAAUCAACAAAAUGAAAUCGAACUCUUCAUGACAUUUCUGGAGGUUAACAGAUUUAAUUAGUGCAGAUCUUAACUUUCUCUUCCAUUUGCCUGGUAUCAAACCUACUAGUAAAUGUACCUUCUUAACUGUCAAGUGUUUUCAAAAAAACUAUGGUUUAAUUUUACUUUGUGCUAUAUAUCGAUAAGUUAAGUAAGCCCUUUUCAACUAACUUUUAAAGUUUUUCAGUCUUCAUACCACGUUGUGCAUGUUCCUGUCCCAAAUCAGGAGGCCUUUAUUUUGAGCUUGUUGUUUGUUGCUGUAUAUCAUAUUUGUUUUUUUUCUUUAAUUGAUUUGUACAUAAAUCACGUUACUUUUUCUCGUUUGAA